rnacentral:lncRNA from 1 species
GCAAGCCCCGGACAUAAACCCUACUUUAGUUACACUGCAACCUAUGUUAUUUAUAUCUAUCUCUGCAUUAAGUUCUUAGGAAUUGUAUGAAAAACCCUAGUUGCAUUUUCCUAGGAACCAAUGUAUUGAAUGUUAGCACUUCAGUCCGACUAGCUGCUAUGCUAAUAGGACUGAUAGAAGUCGGGUGAUUCCCUGUCACUCGCGCGAUAUAAGAGUUAUAAUGUUUACAUUCUUGUUAUCACU